ACAAGGAAGACCAUUUAACCUUACUUGGACUUAACAUUUUCUGUUAUUCAUUUAAACUUGUUCAUCUUCCAAAUUUUGUUUCCAUAUUCAAACAGCAACAUACGACACUGAGAAUUUAGCAGUAUCACUGAGUUAUUGUAAAAAUUUGGGAUCCAUUGGAUUAAUACAAAAAUAAUUAAAAUUGUUUUAUUACCCAAAGGUAGCAUGUACUUAACCAUUUUUAUCUCAAAAUCUACACUAAUUCUGACGGUGAAACUUUAGUAGUGCAUUGAAUGUGUGUGAUAGACUUUGGUGAAUUUUUUAUGAUUUUUAGUGAAGGAUAACUAUUUUCCACAUAUAUCCCCUAUUUAUCUUUCCAUAAACAGGAAAGUGUGUCUUAUUAAGUGUCAUCCAGGGUUUCAUAUUUUUUUCCUAAGAUCUAUACUUCAAAACUGGACUACUCCAAGAGAUUUACAUUUUUCUCUGCUCUAGAUUAC
rnacentral:lncRNA from 1 species